rnacentral:lncRNA from 1 species
GGUUCUGAUGAAAUUCUGACCGUCAGCUCGUGCAAAAGAUCUCCUAUUCAAAGUCGAGAACAUCCUCAACCAUUCGAUCGUGUGAUAGAUUGCUUCUAAGCCGUCGGAUUGCGCAGAAGAGUCCUCUUAUAAAUCGACAAUGGAUGCUGACCGUCGGAUCUGGGUCAGGAUGAAUGUCAGCCAUUGGAUCGCAUCCAGAAUCCUUCUCUCACUGUGAGCCAUGCCUGUGGAUCACGUGAAGUUUUCUGUGGACCGCACUCUAAUUUCUGUGGAUUGAUCGAUCGGUCCACCGUGCACCGGAGGC